UCUAGAAGCCUCACAAAUUUAAUUAAUGGAGAGAGUCUACUGACCUCAGUGUUUUCCUUAGUUAUAUAUAGUGGUGUUGUGCAUAUCAGAUUCAAGUCAAAGAAUGUGAACCGUACCCUAGCCCACAAAGUCAUGUCUACAGCUUGGUCGUAUAUUGUUGAAAGCUUCAUUACUGGAAUCGUAUUUACAAAAGUGAUUCAGUUGUGGAUGGCCACCAUCUUUGGUGAUGAUGUCAAUCAUAUCACUCUCAUCUUCUCAGUUUUAUACCUCAUCUUCUAUGUUUGUGAACUCUUUGGAAUGUCUGGAAUAUUUACUCUGGCCACCAUAGGACUUUUUCUAAAUUCUACAAGCUUUAAACCAGGAGUUGAAGCAUUUCUGCUCGAAUUCUGGAACUGCCUGUCUUUUAUUGGUUUUCUUAUGGUGUUCACUUUCAUUGGACUUCUAAUCCCUGCACACACAUACUUGCAUAUAUCAUUUUCUGAUGUAUAUUAUUCAUUAAAUAUCUACUUCACACUGAUUGU